GUAGCCCAAAAUGCUUGUGUUAUUGUGCAUGAAUGACAAUAAUCCGUAUACUGUCUGAUACAUUUGUGGGCUCCUGCAUCCACAUUAUCAUGCUUCUUAUGGAUUUAUGUGAAUCCUGCUGCUCACAUAUGUGAUGGCUCGUGUCCUCUCAGGGUAUUACUAUUACAAGUACUGUCAGGACCAAUGGAAUAAGCAACAAUCUAAUGUACUGUAAAGAUAUUUUCUUGUGCUCGACCCUUCAUGAUUUGCAGAUACCCUUUUCAGGGGAACAUGAUCUAUCGGGUGCGUGUCAGGCGUCAUGGACCAAAGAGGCCAAGGGCAUUGUGUGUAUGUCACAGAAAAGCACGGACUGGUAGAAGAUUAAUGGGUAGUCUCAAGGUUCUCAACUCCUUCUGGAUCAAUGAGGACUAAACAUAUAAUUAAGUGCUAUAUAUUAGAUAGUUUUGGUCGAUGAUCCUGCCCAUAAUGCCAUUCGCAAUGACAAGAGGAUCAACUGGAUCAUCUGCAACCCUGUCCACAAACACGGGGAACUUCGUGGAUCACUUCUGCUGGGAAGAUAUACAAAGGCUUGCACGGAAAGGGGCAGCACUUGCACUGCAAAGCAAGGCCUUUCAGAAGGGCAACUUAGAAGAGGAACCAGACGCCCUCUCUCCGUCGAUACCAUUGAUCGUGGUCAAGGGAGGGUGCAGAGCCUACGGUGGAACCUUUUUGCAAAUUUCUCUCGUCUCGGUUAGAAAAAAACAAACUCGACCAGGAAAAUAUUCUUGUUGGCUUCUUGGACGGGCUCGUGCAUUAUAUCUUCUUCUGAUAACGCGCGGGCCACAGACGGUGACAAUCUCAAGUCACGGAGGAAAGUUCUCCAGUGGUGGGUGAGUUGGGCUCGAGUGAACGAGCCUAACCAACAUGUGAUGAUGGGCUAUGUUAUGAGUGGUGAUCCAAAGAGCCCAGUGUCCUCUUUCUUCAUGCCUUUUUUUUUUUGGUGAUUUUCUUCAUGUUUUUUCUUCAUAUAUGCGUAUACAUAAGUGUGAAUAAUAGGAUCCUACGGUUGGAUCGUUGAGAUUUUAUAUGUAACUCAUACACUAUAUUCCCGAUCUGCAAU